UGUGACCCACGUCUGCUGCUCCUGUGCAGCCGUUAGUCGUGCUGUUUCCCUCAAUAUUCAUUACCUACCCUAGUGAAAAUCUAGAAACACCCCCCAUUUUAAACGAAAUUUUCAAAGUCCUGGCAAACCAAAUCACGUUUUCGUAAUUUCCUAACAAAGCUUUCAGUGUCUCAAAAUAUUUCCGGCCCAAUUUCUUUAAAACACAGGUUCUUGCAGUCAUGCGAGGGAAGUACCUGCUUGUGUGUUUCCUGGCAUUUGUGGGCGCCACCGCAAGAAACUCAAGUUCCAGACCAUGUGCUGAACGAGUAAGGGAUUGUCAUAACGGCACCAUACCCAAUUGCCUGGCGAAAAACAGAAACCAGCACCAUUUCCAAUGUACACCGCCGAAUCAAGCAUGUUACCUCCCCUGGUCUCAACUAUGUGCAGAUUCCUUUAACUUCUGUUGUACUCAUUAUCCGUACCCGAACUACUGUGAGUGCCAUUGCGAGAGCACGUCCAGAUUGCCACUUCGAAGUCAGUCACCCAUUCGUCAGCGUAAAAAACGCUUGCCUGCUUCAGGAAGGUUCUAAACGACGGAGCAGCUCUUUAGUGGCGCCCUCUUUGCAUGGUACGUGGCAGUUCCGAAAUACAUAAUUGCACGCUGCAGCAAAUAAUAAAGUGUGUUCUACUAG